AGAGUUCUCAGAAUCUUCCA
rnacentral:miRNA from 1 species